GACGAACGCUGGCGGCGUGCCUAAUACAUGCAAGUAGAACGCUGAAGAGAGGAGCUUGCUCUUCUUGGAUGAGUUGCGAACGGGUGAGUAACGCGUAGGUAACCUGCCUUGUAGCGGGGGAUAACUAUUGGAAACGAUAGCUAAUACCGCAUAACAAUGGAUGACACAUGUCAUUUAUUUGAAAGGGGCAAUUGCUCCACUACAAGAUGGACCUGCGUUGUAUUAGCUAGUAGGUGAGGUAACGGCUCACCUAGGCGACGAUACAUAGCCGACCUGAGAGGGUGAUCGGCCACACUGGGACUGAGACACGGCUCAGACUCCUACGGGAGGCAGCAGUAGGGAAUCUUCGGCAAUGGGGGCAACCCUGACCGAGCAACGCCGCGUGAGUGAAGAAGGUUUUCGGAUCGUAAAGCUCUGUUGUAAGUCAAGAACGAGUGUGAGAGUGGAAAGUUCACACUGUGACGGUAGCUUACCAGAAAGGGACGGCUAACUACGUGCCAGCAGCCGCGGUAAUACGUAGGUCCCGAGCGUUGUCCGGAUUUAUUGGGCGUAAAGCGAGCGCAGGCGGUUUGAUAAGUCUGAAGUUAAAGGCUGUGGCUCAACCAUAGUUCGCUUUGGAAACUGUCAAACUUGAGUGCAGAAGGGGAGAGUGGAAUUCCAUGUGUAGCGGUGAAAUGCGUAGAUAUAUGGAGGAACACCGGUGGCGAAAGCGGCUCUCUGGUCUGUAACUGACGCUGAGGCUCGAAAGCGUGGGGAGCGAACAGGAUUAGAUACCCUGGUAGUCCACGCCGUAAACGAUGAGUGCUAGGUGUUGGAUCCUUUCCGGGAUUCAGUGCCGCAGCUAACGCAUUAAGCACUCCGCCUGGGGAGUACGACCGCAAGGUUGAAACUCAAAGGAAUUGACGGGGGCCCGCACAAGCGGUGGAGCAUGUGGUUUAAUUCGAAGCAACGCGAAGAACCUUACCAGGUCUUGACAUCCCGAUGCUAUUUCUAGAGAUAGAAAGUUACUUCGGUACAUCGGUGACAGGUGGUGCAUGGUUGUCGUCAGCUCGUGUCGUGAGAUGUUGGGUUAAGUCCCGCAACGAGCGCAACCCCUAUUGUUAGUUGCCAUCAUUCAGUUGGGCACUCUAGCGAGACUGCCGGUAAUAAACCGGAGGAAGGUGGGGAUGACGUCAAAUCAUCAUGCCCCUUAUGACCUGGGCUACACACGUGCUACAAUGGUUGGUACAACGAGUUGCGAGUCGGUGACGGCAAGCUAAUCUCUUAAAGCCAAUCUCAGUUCGGAUUGUAGGCUGCAACUCGCCUACAUGAAGUCGGAAUCGCUAGUAAUCGCGGAUCAGCACGCCGCGGUGAAUACGUUCCCGGGCCU
rnacentral:rRNA from 1 species